UCGGGCGUGGUGCACGGCGCACACCUGCUCCAUGUAUGAUGUAAUCAUUUUCGGGAUUAACAGACAGGAGACCCGGGUUCAACUCCCGGCGCCCGAC